rnacentral:rRNA from 1 species
UACAGAGGUCCCGAGCGUUGUUCGGAUUCACUGGGCGUAAAGGGUGCGUAGGUGGUGAGGUAAGUCGGAUGUGAAAUCUCCGGGCUCAACCCGGAAAUGGCAUUGGAAACUACCUUGCUGGAGGAUUUGAGGGGGGAUUGGAAUACUUGGUGUAGCAGUGACAUGCGUAGAUAUCAAGUGGAACACCAGUGGCGAAGGCGGGUCUCUGGGCCGUAACUGACGCUGAGGAGCGAAAGCAUGGGGGAGCGAACAGG